UCACAUUGUAAGUGUGGCUCAAAUGAGUGAUCAAUAAGGCUCAUGACCUAGGUUAGUGACCUCCAUUGCACACUUGGGAGGGGUGUUUAGCCUAAGAUCUUCCCUUUGUGGGUGCAUCUAAAUCAUAAUUUGUUGUUGCUGAGAUGUGCGCUUGGGUCGCCCUUAA